CAGGCUAGAGUGCAAUGGUAUGAUUUCGGCUCACUGCAACCUCCGCCUCCCGGGUUCAAGUGAUUUCUCCCGCCUCAGCCUCCCAAGUAGCUGGAAUUACAGGCACCUGCCAUCAUGCCCAGCUAAUUUUUGUAUUUUUGUAUUUUUGUAGAGACGGGGUUUCACCAUGUUUGCCAGGCUGGUCUUGAACACCUGACCUCAGGUGAUCUGCCCGCCUCUGCCUACUGAAGUGCUGGGCUUACAAGUGUGAGCCACCGUGCCCAGCCACUUAUUUUUUAUGGUGGUAAAAAAGAUGAGAUUUUUACCCUGUUAGUAAAUGUUUAAGUGUAUAGUAAUGUUAACUAUAAGCACUCUGCUUAGCUUAAUUUUUAAAGGCACAUAAUAGUGGCUUUACCUAAAGCAACUCAUUUCUUCUAGGAAUUUUGGGAAUCCUUCACAAAUUAACCUUAUAAACUUACUAGAGGGGCCAGGCGCGCUGGGGUGUAGACGUUUUAAAAAUAAUAUCACUGAAUUGUAAUGCAUCAAUUUGGGUUUUGGAGCAGUAUCUAACUUGUUCCAUUU
ensembl:lncRNA AMMECR1-IT1 AMMECR1 intronic transcript 1